UGGUGAACUCCGUCUCCGUCCUGAAUGCAAGCACCAAAGAUGACGUCUAUCUUGAAACGAACGAAGAUCUGUUGAAAACGUGUGACACCCAAAUCGUGUCGUGGUUCAUGAAAGAAAGGAA
rnacentral:ribozyme from 1 species